rnacentral:lncRNA from 1 species
CUGUAAUAUGAGAGCUCUCUAAGACAUGAUAAAAUGCAAAGUGGCUCAGGAGAAGUCAAAGCAUUUUCCCCUUUGCAAGGAAACAAACCAUUUGUUUCAGGAGAAAUGGAAUUAUGAAUUUGAUUCCCGCGGAACAGGGGUGGGGUGAGUAAUCUGAGUGAUUCCUUCUCUUCUGACUGCCCCAUCAACUAGGUUAUUAAUAGCAAAGAGCUUAGCUUUGCUAAUCCUUACAUGCUGGAUGGUCACCCUCACAAAUACAGGAAGUUUCAUGUAAAAAGAGAGGAUCCUGUUUUCCUUAAAACAAUAGCCAGUCACAGGCUAGAGCAACUCCUCUUUAUGCCUAGACUCAAUGCCCAGACACCCAUCACAGACUGCUGGUGAUCUUCCAGAUCUGGGGUUGGCAAACUAAGGCCUGGGGGCCGGAUCAGGGCCAAUUGCCUUCAGGAUCCGGACCAUGGACUGUCCGUGGAUCGGUGUGGGGAUUCUGAUCGUUUGGGCUGCUCCAUUUCUCUCCCUCACACGCAUCGCGCUGCCGCCUCCUCCCUCCCUCCUCCUGGCUUCUCCCCGCCCUGCCUAGAGGAGGAAGGGGGCUGGGCUGAGCUGGCUGAGCACCAUUUUGAGCUGUCCCUCUCCAGAUCCAGCCCUUUCGCGCUGCUCAUCUUCCCUACUCCUCCUCUACCACCGCCCUGGUGCUCCUGUGGGCCAGAGAGCGGAGCGGACGAGCUCCCUCGGUCUACUCACGAGAAGCAGCAGCAGGGGUGGUGGUGGUUGUGGUGGCAGAGGCAGUACCUGGGAAGGUAAGCGCAGCGGCUGGGGCUGGGGGGGGGACUGCUUGCCCCCCUCGCCUCUUCUUCCAGCUCCCCCGGGUGCUUCUUCUCUCGCCCGCCACAAGGUCCAAGGGACAGUGGACUGGUCAGCAGCUAUAAAUUUUUGCUGACUCCUGUUCCAGAUCCUGCAGUUAAGAACAGAAAAAGAACCUGAUGGAUCAGGCCAAUUGCCCCUUGAGGCCAGCAUCCUCUUCUCACAGUGGCCAAGCAGAUGCCCAUCAUGGGAAACCACAAGCAGGAUCUGAGCACCAGAGCCCUCUCCCCUCCUGUGGUUUUUGUGGGAUGUGAAACACAAAAGCAGUCAAGUACAACAUUCCUAGAGUGAACAUGUUUACACAUGGGGAGGAGUGUUUGUCCAGCCAGCAGGUCAACUUCCUGUUUCCUUCUGGGCUGGGACAUGUGACUAGAGGUGGGCGUGGCCUCACCUGUGCAGGUAACGACAAAAGCGCAGGGCAGGGCAGCCAUCUCUCUCUCUCUCUGACUACAUGCAUCAAAGAAGCAACAUCUGCUUAGCCAAAGAUGCUCUCUUGGCCUCCAUCCAAGAGAGGACAAAGGGACUGUCUCCUUAUGAGAUAGUUUCCAGGUGUAUGUUACUUUCUACAAUAAGUCUGCCUUCUGGGAUCCGAUUGUGAACAGAAUGUGAGUGAGUAAACUCUUUUUAUACUUUUAUAGAACACUGUAGUGUCUUAUCAUUUAUGAGGGAAUAAGGGGGAAAUACCAGAACAGUUAGUACAGAGGCUUUAGCAAGCCUGAGCAAAUGCAUCCGCUGUGAGUUUAAAAGGGGGAAUGUUACUCUGCUAAAUUGUGAAGUAGUUAACACAAGUUGGAAAGGCUAUAACCAAACAAUAUAUCCUCUCCUGCAUCCCUGAACAUUCCCACAGUUUUCAGCAACUGGUGUCCAGAAGAAUUGCUGCCUCCAACUGUGGAGGCAGAACAUACCCAUCCUGGCUAGUAGCCAUCAAUAGCCCUCUCCUCCAUGAAUUAGAAUUGCUUUUCUCAUAAAUAGACGGGGAAUCACAAUCUUCCCAUCCCCAUGCACACACACGUACACAAACAUGAUAGAUAUAUUUUUGGCACAUCGUUAUCUGGAAAAAAACAAAACUUCCAAUUCUAUCCAUUCCUAGCUGCAUAAGUGACAUUCGCUUCCAUUUCCCCCCAGUUUUUUUUUUUAAUCCAUCUGUCUCAAGAGGCAAUGGAGCACACCUGCUGUGAUAGCUGCACUGAGGUGACCACCCCGGGGCGCAAGCCUGAGCAGUGCGUUGGAGGUCCUGGGCUGGCCAGAUGACAAGAGUCCCAUUUCAGCCUCACUGAUGGGGUCCAAAGGAAAGCAGAGCAAGACAUUUGGCACCAGCUGGGCUGCAGGAGCUGCAAGGAGGUGGCACACAAGACACCACCCAACUGUCUUAGGAGCCAGGUUGCAAGAGCCACAAUUAGGGAUGGGCACCUCCCAUGGUGGGCCUUUCCUCCACCCCACUCAAUAGCUGGUGAAAGUGUGCAUGAGUUGGACUGGAAGCUGGAGAUACAGAAGGCUGCUUGCUCUGUGCUGGAUCCAAAGUUGUGACAAAUGGAGAAACAAGGGUGGAAUCUACACACAUAAAAAAAAACAACGCUGUGAAAAUGCCUUUAAAAAAAAAGUUCUGAAAAUAUAUUGAAUUUGCCAUAGCUCACCAUCACCAUCUACUGUCACAUUUGUACAAUGCACUUUACAACACACUUAAAACUUUUUAUUUGCAGCUGUAUAGAAGACAGGAGUGCCUGGUGUGCUCUGGUCCAUGGGGUCACGAAGAGUUGGAGAUGGUGACAGCAGCCACGAAAUUAAAAGACUCCUGCUUCUUGGGAGAAAAGCAAUGACAAACCUAGACAGCAUCUUAAAAAGGAGAGACAUCACCUUGCCAACGUAAAAGCUAUGGUUUUCCCAGGAGUGAUGUAUGGAAGUGAGAGCUGGACCAUAAAGAAGGCUGAUCGCCGAAGAAUUGAUGCUUUUGAAUUCUGG